UGUCGUCAGCUCGUGUCGUGAGAUGUUGGGUUAAGUCCCGCAANNNNCGCAACCCUCAUCCUUAGUUNCCAUCAGGUAAUGCUGNGNACUUUAAGGAAACUGCCAGUGAUAAACUGGAGGAAGGUGGGGAUGAUGUCAAGUCAUCAUGGCCNUUAUGGAGUGGGCUACACACGUGCUACAAUGGUGGCUACAAUGGGNUGCAAAGUNNCGAGGCUNANCUAAUCCCUUAAAAGCCAUCUCAGUUCGGAUUGUACUCUGCAACUCGAGUGCAUGAAGUUGGAAUCGCUAGUAAUCGUGGAUCAGCANGCCACGGUGAAUACGUUCUCGGGUCUUGUACACACUGCCCGUCACGCCAUGGGAAUUG
rnacentral:rRNA from 1 species